CCCUCCUCGAUCAACGCGCAAUAUCAGGAGAUCCGUCCCUCAGAUUUGCGAACGGACCGCAGCAGUGUAAUCAGCACGACAGAGACAUCAAACCCACGAUUUUGUUUUGCCUGGUUCGGUCACAGAUUCGCGACGAAACCCGUCCUCUCUUCGAAUUACAAAACCACGCACAAAUACAUAUAAUACAUGUAUUUCCAGAUUUCUCAAAAUUUGUGCGUCAAACCUAAAAUCCG
rnacentral:lncRNA from 1 species